rnacentral:lncRNA from 1 species
UUCUUCCUCAUGCAUCUUUUUCAGAGCACUUUCCUGAGAUGCUUUACUUCUGUAGUUCUUAUCUGCUGCUAUUCUGACAUCAGAACACGAAGGCUCAGGCUGGGAGGUACCUUCACACACUGGGAAAUGUAUCAGCUCUUUCUCUUCAUCACAAAGUUCUCUAUUUGAGACAACAAAUGACUCUUGACUAGAAGCAUCAGGCUGAUAUUCAGAAUCUUCUUCUGGUGGGCUCUGCAAAAAGUAUAUUUGCUCAGGCAUUAUGCUGGCAAUCUUCUCCUUCCCUAUGAUGUGAGUAUUUAUAAGUGGACUAAUGCUUUUUACCUUCUCCCGCCUUUCAUGUGCCAUUAUCU